rnacentral:rRNA from 1 species
AAUGGUUUACUAAAUGGCCGCAGUAUAUUGACUGUGCAAAGGUAGCAUAAUAAAUAGUCUUUUAAUUGGAGGCUGGUAUGAAUGAUGGGACGUGAUGGGCGCUGUCUUUAUGAUAGGUUGUUGAAAUUUACUUUUUAAUGAUAAGGUUAAAAUGUGACUGGUAGACGAGAAGACCCUAUUGAGCUUUAUUGGUAUGGUGGUUUUGUUUGUUUGAUUUGUAGACGGAUUGUUAUGGCUAAUUCUGUUGGGGCAACAUUUUAAUAUUGGAUAAUUUUUUACUUUUGGGUUUGUGAUGAUCCGUUAUUGGCGAUUGAGAGAGUAAGUUACUAUAGGGAUAACAGCGUGAUCAGCUUGGAGAGUUCGUAUCGGUAGGCUGGGUUGCGACCUCGAUGUUGGUUURGUGGAUCUUUAGGGUGUAGCAGCUUUAGGAGAG